rnacentral:lncRNA from 1 species
UGUUUGCUUGCCUUUUCUAAAGGAUGAAAAAACUACUUCACAGUUUUCACUCUGAGCUCCCAGUUCUCUCUGAUAGUGAGCGAGACAUGAAGAAAGAAUUACAGCUGAUACCUGAUCAACUUCGACAUUUGGGCAAUGCCAUCAAACAGGUUACUAUGAAAAAGGAUUAUCAACAGCAAAAGAUGGAGAAGGUGUUGAGUCUUCCAAAACCCACCAUUAUUCUCAGUGCCUACCAGCGAAAGUGCAUUCAGUCCAUCCUGAAAGAGGAGGGUGAACAUAUAAGGGAAAUGGUGAAGCAAAUCAAUGAUAUCCGCAAUCAUGUAAACUUCUGACACCACCAGGAGCUGACUCACACCUGAACUGAACACCAUUGAAGGCUUAAACCCAUAUUGUAAAACAGGUAGAAUUAUCUAAUUUAUAAAAAGGUGUUUUGA